GAUAAGAUAACGUUUGUGAUUUUAAAUUAUGAACGACGUAUCGAUAGUUCUAGUAGCAACUAGCUGCUAGUAAUGCAAGCUAUGCGCCAUGUCAGGCGCAUGCUCAGACCUGUUUAAAACUUUUUGAACUCGUAAAUGGCAGCAAGAAAUACCCUCGGGAUUCGUGCCUUUACAUUUGUACACGCGUUAGCGAGAAACCGGCCUACUAUUCAAUCUAAAACUUCUGGUUUUCAGGCGUGUUUCCUGGUGAGUUUUUCAAUUGAAUAGUAGAGAUUGCUCGUUAACUUUCAUAAAAUAUAAGGGCACAAAUCCCGAAGCCAUUUAUGAAGAAACUGCCGUCAAUGAGGUCAUUUAAUGCUGAACGUUUUUUGGAGCAUGAUUUGACUGAAAAGGAGAAACACAUUAGAGGCAGUAGUUGACUUGAUGCAUAUCCUUGCUUUGCUUUGUCACAGACCAGACUCUUUUCAAAGUUUAGAAUAUGGGAAGAGGAGCUAAAUUGGAUCAACACCAUAUUCUCUGGAUCCCAAUAAUGCUAUUUUGAUGGGGUGUAAUAUUGGUAAUAAUAAAUAUUUGCCUUUUUCCCCCUGAUGAUAACAGUUAUGCAUAUGUAUGUGUCUGUGUUACAGGUCAUUCACAAGUGGCUCCAGUCUGGUUUGGGGGUCUACCCUUUCUUAUCAUGUCCUGCCACCCAAUAAAGCCAUUCACAAGUGGCUCCAGCCUGGUUUGGGGGUCUAGCCUUUCUCAUCCUGUCCUGCCACCCAAUAAAAAGAGAAAUUACUAAAGGCCUCUGCAACUGCUUUUACCAGAUGCUGUGAGAGAGCUAUGCCCUGUGCCGCGGCUUCUGAUUCAGUACAGCAGUUCAACCAGCCCAGCAAACAGGAAAAGCUCAAGGAGGUGUCUUAACUAUCAGCAUUCCUACCCAAACAGAUCAACCUACUGUUAUGUCCAACUAAGAAAAACAAUGGUCU